UGCCCUCUUUCAUUUUCAGUCACAGAGAGAUUCAAAAUAGUGCCGAGAGUUAACAUGGCGAUUUGAGUGCAUUUCUUGGUCAAACGUUUCACGACUUGGAAACACGAAAGAUAUGCGGUUAUUCGGGUCGGUCGGUCUGAUAACACUCAUUAGCGAAUCAAAGCCAGAAAAAAGAUCUAAAAACUAACGAUUUCAUGCCAAGGUUGGGUUCUGGGCCCACUCAAUCUUGCAAUAUGUCAACAUCAUCAUCAGAUCGUCUCUUUCUGGGCUCGUAAUCGGACAACCCCCAUUAAGAGGAAACCCCAUCAUUUGUCUUGCCAACAUUUCGCAGACGACCCGUGAUUUGGACGCCCAAACUGGAUGAAUCACAUUGGCAAGCAGAGCAGCUGCUAAAUUACAGCACACACAAUAUGAGGCUUGGUCGUAUCAAGUUUGAGUCGGAUGUUUCCACAAACUGGUCUCGGAGAAUCAAGAUGAUUUCCAGACAAUGUUUU